UAGAUUUUAUGUUUUUCAUUUUUUUUUGUUUUUUGUUUUUUACCAAGAAAGAAACGUUUUCAAUUCGAGGAGGUAGAGAAAGAGAGAAGAAAAGAGAGCUGGAGUGAAAGAAAGAGAAGAAAAAAAGUCUCUUUUUAUCAAUAAAAUGAUGUUAUUAUUAAAAAA
rnacentral:ribozyme from 13 species